UCGCGACGAUAUCAAAUAACGUUGCGUGGAUCAAAUUUCUUCACUUAAAUUGAUUUUUUUUAUUUUUUUUUAAAGAUACGGUCAGGAAAUACUUCAAACGCAAAAAAAAAAAAUAAUAAUAAUAAUAAAAAAAAAAGAGUUAUUAGUAAAAGGAUCCAUAUAACAUAGUAGAAUAACUAAAAUUAAAGUCUGCCCCUGAAUGAAUUUAGAAAGUUUAUGCUCACCCUCAACUCGAAUAGUUCUUGAGAUUUGAAGGUUACUAAAAAGUUGAUAUUGUUAAAUCUUCGUGGUAAAAAGUGAAUACGUUCGCUCUUAACGUCCUCGUCAACCCGUUCCAAGAUUAACACAGAGGAGGUAAAUCACGGGCGACUACUAACCUUUAGAAUAGUGACUAGCACAUAAGGGAGGUAUUUACUUCGGCUUUGCCGAAAUUCGAACCCCAGACCUUAUUGUGAUAAUAUCUCAUGUGCUAGUCACUAGAUCCAUCCGAAAGGACAAACUUUGAAAUGAGUUUCUAUUCGAACCUCAGACCUCAUUGUUAAAUCUUUGCACAGAGAAAAAUAAUACCUGGCCGCCUAAAAAUCAAUUGAUUAACAAAGUCAUAUGGAGAUUGUGGCAUUGAAAUGAGUUUCCAUUUCCAUGAUUUGCUCCCAGCUCCCUAUCGAUCUCUUCUCUUGUGUUCUCCAUUUCUUUACCAUGGGAUUGUUCUGUUCCAAGAAGUCCUCUGCAGCAGACGAUCCUCCAUGUGAAGAAGAUGCACACUCAAAGACUGGCACGAUUGCAAGAGGUAAGCAGUCAGAUGCCUCAGGAAAGAAGAAGGGGAUGCCAAAGGAAAGUUCUUUUUAGAAGAAAUUGAAAGAAGAGGCACCUGCUGCUAUGCAACAAUUGAUGGCACCAGUUCAGACCACAGCUCAUGCGACUUCGGCGCAGCAGAUUCUGAUGCAUCAUUAGCAUUGCCAACAUCAUUCUCUAUCGCUAAAUCCAUAUCAAAUUCCAGCAGUUUAUAUAAUUCGCUAUCAUCUGCCCAUUCUACUUCUUCACCCAAUA